UCGGCCACAACACCCUACCAACCUCCCAUAUUUGAAAUUCCUUGAUUCACUCUCCAAUCUCAUCCUUGAUUUGCUCCACAAUUCCAUCCAAGACCAGUUUAAACUUCACCUUACAGAGUUUCAGUCAAACUCCACCUCUCUUACCACAAAGAAAUAAAAUAAAUAUCCCUUUGCAUUCCAUGAGAUUCUAACCCAAGCUCUCACAAUAGCCAUGUCACGC
rnacentral:lncRNA from 1 species